AGUGAACGCUGGCGGUAUGCCUAACACAUGCAAGUCGAACGGCAGCACAGUAAGAGCUUGCUCUUACGGGUGGCGAGUGGCGGACGGGUGAGGAAUACAUCGGAAUCUACUUUUUCGUGGGGGAUAACGUAGGGAAACUUACGCUACUACCGCAUACUACCUACGGGUGAACUCCGGGGCUCUUCGGACCUUGCGCGAUUGUAUGAGCCGAUGUCGGAUUAGCUAGUUGGCGGGGUAAAGGCCCACCAAGGCGACGAUCCGUAGCUGGUCUAAGAGGAUGAUCAGCCACACUGGAACUGAGACACGGUCCAGACUCCUACGGGAGGCAGCAGUGGGGAAUAUUGGACAAUGGGCGCAAGCCUGAUCCAGCCAUACCGCGUGGGUGAAGAAGGCCUUCGGGUUGUAAAGCCCUUUUGUUGGGAAAGAAAAGCAGCAGGUUAAUACCCCGCUGUUCUGACGGUACCCAAAGAAUAAGCACCGGCUAACUUCGUG
rnacentral:rRNA from 1 species